UAGGCAGCAAGCUCAUAUUUGAACCGUUUUUCAACAAAGCGUAUUGUAGCUACGAACGAUAUCAGCCUUUCCCAUUCUCAACUGACGGUAGCAGUACAUGUGUAUAUCAAAAGUCUGUUUGUACUGAAAAGGGUCAAUACUUGUUCCAAAGAGGAAAUCAGAGAAGCGACAUUACCUGUGGAUGCGACUUGGCAAAAGGGUACGAAUUUGUCACCAAGCCAAAACACGACUGCUACUGUGUACCAUCGAAAGACGACUGCUCUUGUCACAAACU
rnacentral:lncRNA from 1 species